CUUUCUUUCUGUCACUGAGCUUUACUCCUUCUCAAUACAGGAGCAGGAGAAAGCCGUCUGUGUGAAAUAAACCAUCACCACGUAAACAUUCCUACAUUUAGGUUUCCUAAUGUGUUCCUUAGAUGAGUGAGGUGUCUUCUAACAAUGAUUCGAUUUGGUUCCCUUUCUGAUAGAGAAACAUUCUGUUGUAGAGAUUUACAUAGUACCUUAUCAUCCACUCAUCUAUCCAGUGAGCAGCGUGUGGUUGUGGGUUGAACACCUCCAUAGUGGUCAUGGACGCUCCAUAUUCAAAUAGAGUGGUGUAUAAACAGCAUGUUCUUGGCUGCUCUAGUUUCCAGUGAGCUCUGUGAGAGAUAACACUCCCAUACACUUUAAAUCUGGGUGAAGCAGAACUCAGAGAAGGAUGAUUUUAGGACAGUGUAUUUUAUUGCUACUCAUUUCAUAUUCUUAUGGACAGUCCCUGACCUCCUCUGAUUCUGUGGUGAAGAGACCUGGAGAGUCGGUCACUCUGUACUGUACUGUCUCCGGUUUCUCAAUGGGCUACUGGAUGCACUGGAUCCGUCAGAAACCAGGACAAGGACUGGAGUGGAUCGGGCGCAUUGAUGGUGGCACCGGCACUGCAUUCGCUCAGUCUCUACAGGGCCAGUUCUCCAUCAGUAAAGACACCAAUAAAAACUUGCUGUAUCUAGAAGUGAAGAGUGUGAAAGCUGAAGACACGGCAGUUUAUUACUGUGCACGAGAGUCACACUGACACAACAGACUCCAGAGCUGUACAAAAACUUACACAAGCACGUCAUCGUGAGC